GGGAGCGGGGUCGCGGGGCGCUCGCCUUUGUUUUCAUUAACUCUGCGGGGUCUGGCGGUUUUAUUUUCUUUUUUCAGUAUUUCUUUUAUCCUUCCCCCGCACCGUCGCUAUUUCUUUCCCCCCAUUUAUUUAUUUCCUUCCCCCCCCCUUUCCUCUCUCUCCCGUCUCUUCGCUCUCUCCGGAGGCGCGGCAGCGGAGCCGGCGAGGGGAACACGGAGCGCAGUGCGCGGUGGGGUUUGUUAAUCCUGCCAACAAGUCGGGACAGGGCCUCUCUGGGAAGCAACACCAGUCUCGUUCCAGAAGAACAAAAUAACAGCAUGAGGCUGAAACCUGGCACGAACCGGGGGGAACGAAACCAUCUGCCCCGCAAGGCACCGAGGCCCUGCGCGGAGCUCGCUGCAACCUCCCAGCCCCGCAGUGCCUCAGCAGCCGUGGGGAGGGCGGCUGCCUGAUGGGGAGGAAGAUGGGGGUCCUGAGGGGCAACCGCUUCUCCGGGAAACCUCAUGCCUUCCCUUUUCCCUUUUCCCUUUUCCCUUUUCCCUUUUCCCUUUUCCUUCUCCCUCUCCUCUCCGGAAAUUGGAGAGAUGAAUUUUAAAGGAAGAGGGUGACAAACAGAAUGCGGUCCGGUCAAACCCCGCUCCGCUCUCUUUCUAAAACCUGGGAUACGAGCGCUGGCUCGGCGCACGGAGCGCUGUAGCAUCCCGGGGGCUCCAUCCCGGGCUGCGUGCGGGGCUGCGCGGGGCGGCACGCGAGCGGGGGGCGGCGGGCUGCCCGCAGCGCCGGCUUAUGGAAAUGGGAUUUAAAUCGUGCCUCGGCCCUGGCUGCGGGGGCGCGGGGAGGGGGGCACGCUCCGCCGCCGACAAAAGCUCCCAGAACACGCCGUUUCCAUACGAACGAACCUCCGCGGAGCUAUUUUCUCCUGCCCGCGGGAGCUCCGCAGGCGGCCGCCCGGCGGGGCGAGGAGCGUUCGGGCCGGGCGGCCCAGAGCCGAGCCGAGGUCCGCACCACGCAGAGGUCCGAGGUGUAGAGAUUGGGACCGGGCUGCCUGGGAACGGGGCCGCUGGUCGGGAGCGGGCAGUGGGCAGCGGGGCGGCCCCUCGUGUGUAACAGGAUUAUCUUUGCCAUUUCAAGUUCCAUGCAGCAUGUAAUUUAUUUUUAAUUAGGAUUAGAUCGAGCAGGGAAGGAGACCAGACCUUUCCCCCACCUCCCCCUCUCCGCAAAGGCAUGGCUAUUCCACGAGGAGCUCUUAUUCUUUACAAAAAAAGCCAAUCAAUCGAUAAACCAGGACCUGUGUUCACCUCCCACGCACUUUGCAGGAGAAAAGGGUGAAAAGGGCUGUAUUUUCAAUGUGUGCUCAAGUAUCUGAAUCAGAAGGGAAGGCUUGGAAAUCUUUCCCUUUUCCCAUCCACCCGGUCCUGCUCUCACAUGCUUUCUAUCCAAACCCAUUUUUAAGAGGGACACAGUGGGAUCCUGCUCCUCAUGCCCCUACCCCCCCCCCCCCCCCCCCCCCCCCCCCCUUUUUUUUUUCUUUUUUUUUUUUUGUGGUGUGUGUGUUUUGUUUUAGAGUUCAAAUGCACUUUCUGCCUGCUUGGGUUAUUCUUUUUCCGUCGUGACUUUGAUUUUAAAAAAACCCCAACGUAUCAGUCUCUCCGCCUUCUCCCCAGUAGAGCCCACCACAGAAAUGUUCUGAAAGGCUAGUGAAGAAUCCUGUUUUACAGCUCAAAAUAAACAUACGGAUCAGCUGCAUUAAAAGCACUUCUUUGAAA